AUGGGGUCGUCGUUUAAGUCGGAGUGGGGGCCGGCGAUCUGCAUGGUGCUCAUCGAGCUGUUCACCACGGGGCAGCUGCUGCUCACCAAGGUGGUGGUCGACGCUGGCCUCAUGGUCUUCGCCCUCCUCACCUACCGCUUCUUCCUCGGUGCCGCCCUCGUUGUCCCUCUCGCCCUCAUCCUUGAGCCAGGGAGGUUGAAGGAGCUUACACUGAAGGCGUUCAUAUGGAUUUUCACCAGUGCACUUGUGGGAUUCACAAUUCCUGGUUUCGCCUACAUUGGCCUCGGAGACACAUCGCCAGGAUACGCAGAGCCACUAGACAUGAGGAGCCUGGUGGGGAACAUCAAGGUCGUCGGAACCCUAGUCUGCGUUGGAGGAACGCUGGUGAUCAGCCUGUACAAGGGCAAGGUGCUGCACCUUUGGCCCACAAAUAUCAUCGGCUACCACCCAAAGCAAGCCGGAGCUGCUUUUGGUCACCACCAUGUGCGUGGAACCAUCUUGCUCAUCACCAGCAGCCUCAGCCUCGCCGUCUGGUACACAGUACAGGCUCAGAUGCUAAAAGUGUUCCCAUACAAGUACUGGUCCACUGUCGCUACAUGCUUCGUGGGGAGCAUCCAAACGGCUGUCGUGGGGGUUGCCAUGAACAGAGAGAAGGCAACAUGGGCGCUCAAAUGGAACAUGAGCUUGCUCACCAUUGUGUACUCGGCAAUACUCAACACUGCUGCCAAAUUUGUGAUGAUUUCAUGGGUCGUCAUGCAGCAUGGGCCAACCUAUCCGGCCAUGUUUUGUGCCGUGACGGUGUUCUUCACUACUAUUCUCGACUCGUUGCUUCUCGGCAAUGAUAUGUCCGUUGGGAGUGUUCUAGGCAUGUUCAUGAUUCUAGCUGGGCUCUAUCUUUUCCUUUCGGGAAAGAGAAAAGAAUCGUCCUCAAGUAUUGACCCUGCAUUAUUGUAUCUCUCCACUUCCUCCUGCCUUUUCCUCCUGUCUGAAAGGAUCGAGGUGGAUCUGCGAGGGGCCAGGGCGUGA
rnacentral:rRNA from 1 species